rnacentral:rRNA from 1 species
AGAGUUUGAUCCUGGCUCAGAACGAACGCUGGCGGCAGGCCUCAAACAUGCAAGUCUAGGGGGUGUAGCAAUACAUCACCGGCGGACGGGUGCGUAACGCGUGGGAAUAUACCUAUUGGUUCGGAACAACUGAGGGAAACUUCAGCUAAUACCGGAUACGUCCUAACGGAGAAAGAUUUAUCGCCAAUAGAUUAGCCCGCGUUCGAUUAGCUAGUUGGUGGGGUAACGGCUCACCAAGGCGACGAUCGAUAGCUGUUCUGAGAGGAAGAUCAGCCACACUGGGACUGAGACACGGCCCAGACUCCUACGGGAGGCAGCAGUUGGGAAUCUUGGACAAUGGGGGAAACCCUGAUCCAGCCAUGCCGCGUGAGUGAUGAAGGCCUUCGGGUUGUAAAACUCUUUCGCGCACGACGAUAAUGACGGUAGUGCGAGAAGAAGCUCCGGCUAACUUCGUGCCAGCAGCCGCGGUAAUACGAAGGGGGCUAGCGUUGUUCGGAAUUACUGGGCGUAAAGCGCGCGCAGGCGGUCUUCCAAGUCAGUGGUGAAAGCCCGGAGCUCAACUCCGGAACUGCCAUUGAAACUGUUAGACUUGAGUAUGAGAGAGGUGAGUGGAAUUCCCAGUGUAGAGGUGAAAUUCGUAGAUAUUGGGAAGAACACCGGUGGCGAAGGCGGCUCACUGGCUCAUUACUGACGCUCAGGCGCGACAGCGUGGGGAUCAAACAGGAUUAGAUACCCUAGUAGUCC